rnacentral:rRNA from 1 species
UACGUAGGGGGCAAGCGUUGUCCGGAUUUAUUGGGCGUAAAGAGCGUGUAGGCGGCUUGGCAAGUCUGACGUGAAAGCCCGCGGCGUCAACCGCGGAUUGUCGUUGGAACUGCCUCGCUAGAGUCCGGAGAGGAGAGCGGAAUUCCUGGUGUAGCGGUGGAAUGCGCAGAUAUCGAGGAAGAACACCCGUGGCGAAGGCGG